UUUACUCGCAUAUGGUCGCGGGCGCGAACUGGAAUCAUAAUCUAGGCUUCAUUCGAGUUUUCAAGGCAUUUUGAGCGCACAGCAUGGUCAAGAUACGCUUGCAGGGAAUAAUACAGUGUGGCAGUGUAUGGGAGCUGACAGCAGUCUCUACUUAACUUGGAUUGGGUUGACAGACGGCAGUGGUGCCGUGCUGAGGACCAGGGGAAUUCUGGGAGCCACAGGCUGUCCAGAAUCAGGUGGUUUGUCUUCGUCUGGCAUCUCAGCUGAGACCUGUCCACUAUGGGUAACCCUACCAGUAGUUGUGAAGUACCAGUGGUGUAGCUCUCAGCAUCACUGAUGCACACAAGCCCUCACAGCACGUCAAGCUGCAAACUGUGUGAGGGACCCUAAUCUACCCUAACCCAACUGUUUAGAACCAACCGCAUGUCAACCAACCACUGCAAACAUCCUAACAACCACGAAGCAAUGCACGAAAAACCACUCAGAAGAGUCCAGCAACCGCAAAGUAACACGACACGACUGCUCAGAAACCAACGCAGCGCAUGUCAACAUACAGGAAACUACCAAGAACAUCCUGAUAAACAUGU